rnacentral:rRNA from 1 species
CCCGGGCUCAACCUGGGAAUGGCAAUGGAUACUGGCAAGCUAGAGUGUGAUAGAGGAUGGUGGAAUUCCCGGUGUAGCGGUGAAAUGCGUAGAGAUCGGGAGGAACAUCAGUGGGCGAAGGCGGCCAUCUGGAUCAACACUGACGCUGAGGCACGAAAGCGUGGGGAGCAAACAGGGAUUAGAUACCCUGGUAGUCCACGCCCUAAACGAUGCGAACUGGAUGUUGGUCUCAACUCGGAGAUCAGUGUCGAAGCUAACGCGUUAAGUUCGCCGCCUGGGGGAGUACGGUCGCAAGACUGAAACUCAAAGGAAAUUGACGGGGGCCCGCACAAGCGGUGGAGUAUGUGGUUUAAUUCGAUGCAACGCGAAGAACCUUACCUGGCCUUGACAUGUCUGGAAUCCUGCAGAGAUGCGGGAGUGCCUUCGGGAAUCAGAACACAGGUGCUGCAUGGCUGUCGUCAGCUCGUGUCGUGAGAUGUUGGGUUAAGUCCCGCAACGAGCGCAACCCUUGUCCUUAGUUGCCAGCACGUAAUGGUGGGAACUCUAAGGAGACUGCCGGUGACAAACCGGAGGAAGGUGGGGAUGACGUCAAGUCAUCAUGGCCCUUACGGCCAGGGCUACACACGUACUACAAUGGUCGGUACAGAGGGUUGCAAUACCGCGAGGUGGAGCCAAUCCCAGAAAGCCGAUCCCAGUCCGGAUCGAAGUCUGCAAACUCGACUUCGUGAAGUCGGAAUCGCUAGUAAUCGCAGAUCAGCUAUGCUGCGGUGAAUACGUUCCCGGGCCUUGUACACACCGCCCGUCACACCAUGGGAGUGAGUUGCUCCAGAAGCCGUUAGUCUAACCGCAA